AUUAAAAAAUUUGGCGGUAUUUUAGUCUUUUCAGAGGAACCUGUUCUAUAAUUGAUAAUCCACGAUUUUAUUUACUUAUUAUAUAAAUUUAUAUAUCGUCGUAGUUUGAAUAUUUUAUAAGAUUAAUUAUAUUCGGGAUAUUAAAUUUAAUAUAAAAUCAGAUCAAGGUGUAGUUUAUGAAUAAGAAGAAAUGGGUUACAGUAAAUUUAUUUAUGGAUUUAUUUAUUUAAAUGAAUAAUAAAAUUGGAUUUGAAAGUAAUUAUUUAAAAAUUUUUAUAAUGAUUAAAGCUCUAAAAUAUGUACAUAUUGCCCGUCGCUUUUGUUUUAAGAUUAAAUAAGUCGUAACAAAGUAGAUUUACUGGAAAGUGUAUCUAGAU
rnacentral:rRNA from 1 species